GAUGAACGCUGGCGGCGUGCCUAAUACAUGCAAGUCGAGCGAACAGACGAGAGUGCUUGCACUCUCUGACGUUAGCGGCGGACGGGUGGGUAACACGUGGGUAACCUACCUAUAAGACUGGGAUAACUUCGGGAAACCGGAGCUAAUACCGGAUAAUAUUUAGCUUCGCAUGAAGCAAUAGUGAAAGACGGUUCUGCUGUCACUUAUAGAUGGACCCGCGGUGUAUUAGCUAGUUGGUGAGAUAACGGCUCACCAAGGCAACGAUACAUAGCCGACCUGAGAGGGUGAUCGGCCACACUGGGACUGAGACACGGCCCAGACUCCUACGGGAGGCAGCAGUAGGGAAUCUUCCGCAAUGGACGAAAGUCUGACGGAGCAAUGCCGCGUGAGUGAAGAAGGUUUUCGGAUCGUAAAACUCUGAUGUAAGGGAAGAACAAGUACGUUAGUAACUGAACGUACCUUGACGGUACCUUACCAGAAAGCCACGGCUAACUACGUG
rnacentral:rRNA from 1 species